rnacentral:lncRNA from 1 species
AGAAACCCAUUGCAAACACAAAUACCACAGGUCUUGUUUAUCGGAUUGGUUGAAAUCCAAUGAGACAUGCCCGAUUUGUAGGCAGCUGUGUUCGUUACCGUUGCGUUCACAAUCUCAAUCGAAUUUACAGAGUGGGGAGAAUGCCGCGGCGAAUUUGUCGUACACCGGAGCAAUUCCGAAAAAUCGUCCUAAAACAAGGCCACAGGUACGAAAUACCCCAAAAGCCUCAAGUGCACGACUUAACCCUCGACCAGGACCUGGCCAGCCUAGACAUGCUCAGGAAUCCAAUGUUCUUUCCGAAGGAAAUAUCCAACGACUUAUUUCAGAGUCCAUGACUAAAUUUCAGGAAAAUAUGACCGCAGUUAUUUCAGAGAAGAUAACAACGGAGUUGAGGAAUCUGAACCUGACAAAUGUUUCUAGGAACUUCCGGGAGGAGCCCCAGCUUGAAUGGGAGAGUGAUAUUGCUCCAUCCUUCCCUCGAAUGAGCAGCGCUAGUAAUCUUCGUAACCAUAGUUACAGGCCACGCCCAUCUAGUGCUCGUGCGAAUUUCACAGACCUUCCUAGUGAAUCUCCUGAUAAGAUCUCAAAUAUCAUUUCCAAGUGGAGUAUAAAAUUCAGUGGAUCUUCCAAAGAUAUUCCCAUCGAAGAUUUUAUUUAUAGAGUGAAUUGUCUUACCAAUAAUUGUUUAAAUGGAAACUUUACCUUACUGGCGCAGUUCGCUAGUCUCUUAUUUACUGAUUCAGCCUUGUCAUUUUACUGGCGUGUUCAUAGGACCACGAAUAAUCUUGACUGGUAUGAGUUAUGCAGCCGGUUGCAAGAGAGAUACCAGGAUCAACGUUCGGAUCGAGAGAUCAAAGCAGCCAUGCGUAGGCGUAAACAGGGUAGUAAUGAAAGCUUUGACGAUUUUCUAGAUGCGAUGCUAUCUAUCGCAGACUCUUUACGAGAGCCUAUGCAGGACGGUGACGUCACCAUAGAGGUUCG